CUGAAUUUAAGCAUAUUAUUAAGGGAAGGAAAAGAAAAUAACUAUGAUACCCGCAGUAAUGGCGAAUGAAGUGGGUAAAGCUCAAGCUUAAAAUCUAGUCUCUUUUGAGAUUCGAAUUGUAGUGUAAAUUAACAUUAAUAUGGUCAUGAUAAUUGCCUAAGUGUGAACAUCUGAAUUUCCUAUCAAAGACGGUGAUAAUCCGGUAUGGUAGUUUGAUUGGCUAAAUAUUCUUGUUAUUUAAAGAGUCGAGUUGUUUGGGAUUGCAACUCUAAUAAAGGUGAUAGAUUUCAUCUAAAGCUAAAUAUAUUAGGAAAACCGAUAGCAAAGAAGUACUGUGAAGGAAAGGUGAAAAGAACUUUGAAAAGAGAGUUAAAAGUGCUUGAAAUUGUUAAAAGGGAAGCGAAUG
rnacentral:rRNA from 1 species